UAUAAAACCCAAAAAAAAAAAAAAACAACAUACGGUUCUUCUUCUUCUCUCGCAUCUGAUCUGAUCUGAUCUGAAGCGAGUUCCUGUGGGUUCUUCUCUUUCGUCGUCUCUUCUCUCCAACCUUCAUUGUUGAUGUUCUUAGAUUUUGUGAAUCAUCGCUCGGGACAGAGGAAACAGAGGAACAGAGCAAGAAAACAACAGAGAGGAGGAACAUGCGGAGAAUACAGCGAAACCCACAUCGGAAAGCGAGUCAAUUUCAGAUCAAGAAUCGAGGAUAGCUCCCGAAACCGAGAAAAAGUUGGAGUUUUUGAAAGAAUUCGAAGGUUCAAUUAAAGAAAGAUUCCUCAGCUCCUCAAACAUUGAAGAAUUGAAAGCUGUAGAUGUCUCUGUAGGGUCUCUCAUACUCACAAGGUGUAAAUCAGAACCAGCAAGAACCGGAGAGAAGCUUGAUCCAGACUCUAAUUUCUGGAAAAGAAGAAGAUAUUUUUGUUGCUAAUGGAGUUGCAGAAGGGAUGAUAAGAAAUUCCUACGAGUUAGAAGUUUCCCAAUUCAGAACUUAAGAAUGAAUGAGCCAGAAAUGCAUAUGCUUAUGAUUGUCUCUUUUUUCAAUUGUUGCCAUGAUGGUAUUCAAAUAUAGAUGUGAACAAGACACAUUGUAGUAGAUAUCUUUUUAAAUGAUUUUUUUCCCUUUUUAGAUGGAUUUCUUUGUAGUUUGUCUGCUUCUUUUAGAUACUUUGCAACAAGAGACCGGCUUGUAGUUCAUGAAAGUGAGUUAUAUAUCAAUUCAAGUUAUAAAUAUUAUGAGAUGAAAA